GCAAGUCGAGCGAUGAAACACCUUCGGGUGUGAAUUAGCGGCGAACGGCUGAGGAACACGUGAAGAAUCUGCCUUCAACUCUGGGAUAACUCCGGGAAACCGGGGCUAAUACCGGAUAUGAGCCUUGAUCGCAUGAUCGGGGCUGGAAAGUUUUUCGGUUGAAGAUGACUUCGCGGCCUAUCAGCUUGUUGGUGAGGUAAUGGCUCACCAAGGCGACGACGGGUAGCCGGCCUGAGAGGGCGACCGGCCACACUGGGACUGAGACACGGCCCAGACUCCUACGGGAGGCAGCAGUGGGGAAUAUUGGGCAAUGGAGGAAACUCUGACCCAGCGACGCCGCGUGAGGGAUGAAGGCCUUCGGGUUGUAAACCUCUUUCAGUAGGGAAGAAGCGAAAGUGACGGUACCUACAGAAGAAGCACCGGCUAACUAUGUGCCAGCAGCCGCGGUAAUACAUAGGGUGCAAGCGUUGUCCGGAAUUAUUGGGCGUAAAGAGCUCGUAGGUGGUUCGAUACGUCGGAUGUGAAAAUCAGGGGCUCAACCCCUGACCUGCAUCCGAUACGGUCGAGCUGGAGUUUGGUAGGGGAGACUGGAAUUCCUGGUGUAGCGGUGGAAUGCGCAGAUAUCAGGAGGAACACCGAUGGCGAAGGCAGGUCUCUGGGCCAAUACUGACACUGAGGAGCGAAAGCGUGGGGAGCGAACAGGAUUAGAUACCCUGGUAGUCCACGCCGUAAACGGUGGGCGCUAGUUGUGCGAACCUUCCACGGUUUGUGCGACGCAGCUAACGCAUUAAGCGCCCCGCCUGGGGAGUACGAUCGCAAGAUUAAAACUCAAAGGAAUUGACGGGGCCCCGCACAAGCAGCGGAGCAUGCGGCUUAAUUCGACGCAAC
rnacentral:rRNA from 1 species